UACGUAGGGGGGCAAGCGUUGUCCGGAUUUAUUGGGCGUAAAGAGCGUGUAGGCGGCCAGAUAGGUCCGUUGUGAAAACUCGAGGCUCAACCUCGAGACGUCGGCGGAAACCCUCUGGCUAGAGUCCGGAAGAGGAGAGUGGAAUUCCUGGUGUAGCGGUGAAAUGCGCAGAUAUCAGGAAGAACACCCGUGGCGAAGGCGGCUCUCUGGGACGGGUACUGACGCUGAGACGCGAAAGCGUGGGGGAGCAAACAGG
rnacentral:rRNA from 1 species